GAACAGAUCGAAAGAGGAUUGGAAGAACUGAGCUUUCUUUGCCCUUCUUCUCCGACUCCUCCGCCUCCACCUCAAUCUACAGUUCGAGCUCGCUCCCCGUCUCGAUCUCGGUCUCCGCUUAUCCAAUUGAAGCCUCCGCCUCCGCGUCAAUCUCAGCUCGAGCUUGCUUCCCCUCCCAAUCUCCGUCUCUGUCUCCGCUUCUCCGAUUGAAGCCUACGCCUCCGCUUCAAUCUCAGCUCGAGCUCGCUCUCCCUUUCGGUCUCCAUCUCCACUUGUCUCAGCUCGAGCUUUGCUUUCUUAGAGCUCUCUCGGUCUCGGUCAAUUUCAAGCUUGUGGAAUUUGAUGGAAGAUAAGUGAUGGUUGCUGAGACCGGGUACAAUUGUUAUUAGACUGGAAUCAGGGGUGAGGGGAAAAUCAAAGCAUGCGAGAAAGCUGCCGAUGUUUGCAUGUUCUCCCCUGUUGUUCGUUUUGACUUUUCAAUGCGUUGUUUCUUCAUGAGUGAGUAGUAUUAAUAAUAUUGACACAACAACAACGAUAUUUUGUAACGAGUGAGUUGUUAAUUUGUAACGAUAUUUUGUGUUUUUAUAACUUAUUGUUGAUUUGUUGGUCUGUGAUCUUUAUUUCAUUUCAAUGAAUAAGGAUUAAUUUUUUUUUA